rnacentral:rRNA from 1 species
AGUGAACGCUGGCGGUAGGCCUAACACAUGCAAGUCGAACGGCAGCACAGUAAGCGCUUGCUCUUACGGGUGGCGAGUGGCGGACGGGUGAGGAAUACAUCGGAAUCUACUUUUUCGUGGGGGAUAACGUAGGGAAACUUACGCUAAUACCGCAUACGACCUACGGGUGAAAGCAGGGGAUCUUCGGACCUUGCGCGAUUGAAUGAGCUGAUGUCGGAUUAGCUAGUUGGCGGGGUAAAGGCCCACCAAGGCGACGAUCCGUAGCUGGUCUGAGAGGAUGAUCAGCCACACUGGAACUGAGACACGGUCCAGACUCCUACGGGAGGCAGCAGUGGGGAAUAUUGGACAAUGGGCGCAAGCCUGAUCCAGCCAUACCGCGUGGGUGAAGAAGGCCUUCGGGUUGUAAAGCCCUUUUAUUGGGAAAGAAAAGCAGCAGAUUAAUACCCCGCUGUUCUGACGGUACCCAAAGAAUAAGCACCGGCUAACUUCGUG